rnacentral:rRNA from 1 species
GAUGAACGCUGGCGGCGUGCCUAAUACAUGCAAGUCGAGCGAACAGACGAGGAGCUUGCUCCUCUGACGUUAGCGGCGGACGGGUGAGUAACACGUGGAUAACCUACCUAUAAGACUGGGAUAACUUCGGGAAACCGGAGCUAAUACCGGAUAAUAUAUUGAACCGCAUGGUUCAAUAGUGAAAGACGGUUUUGCUGUCACUUAUAGAUGGAUCCGCGCCGCAUUAGCUAGUUGGUAAGGUAACGGCUUACCAAGGCAACGAUGCGUAGCCGACCUGAGAGGGGGAGGGGCCACAGGGGAGGGGGACCGGGGCCAGGCGUAAGACGGGAGGGAGCAGAAGGGAAUCUGCCGAAAGGGGCGAAAGCCUGACGGAACAAGCCGGCGGGGGUGAGAAAGGUGUUGGGAUCGAAAACCUUUUUUAUGGGGGAAAAAAAAAUGGGAAAGAAAAAAUGCACGGUUUGACGGUACCUAAUAAAAAAGCAACGGCUAACUACGUG